rnacentral:rRNA from 1 species
GUGGGGAAUAUUGGACAAUGGGCGAAAGCCUGAUCCAGCCAUGCCGCGUGUGUGAAGAAGGUCUUCGGAUUGUAAAGCACUUUAAGUUGGGAGGAAGGGCAGUAAGCUAAUACCUUGCUGUUUUGACGUUACCGACAGAAUAAGCACCGGCUAACUUCGUGCCAGCAGCCGCGGUAAUACGAAGGGUGCAAGCGUUAAUCGGAAUUACUGGGCGUAAAGCGCGCGUAGGUGGUUCGUUAAGUUGGAUGUGAAAGCCCCGGGCUCAACCUGGGAACUGCAUCCAAAACUGGCGAGCUAGAGUACGGUAGAGGGUGGUGGAAUUGCCUGUGUAGCGGUGAAAUGCGUAGAUAUAGGAAGGAACACCAGUGGCGAAGGCGACCACCUGGACUGAUACUGACACUGAGGUGCGAAAGCGUGGGGAGCAAACAGGAUUAGAUACCCCGGUAGUCC